GACGGAGGGUGCUAGCGUUGUUCGGAAUUACUGGGCGUAAAGGGCGCGUAGGCGGCCUUCUCAGUCGGGUGUGAAAGCCCGGGGCUCAACCCCGGAACGGCACCCGAGACGGGUUGGCUGGAGACCGGGAGAGGAGGGUGGAAUAGCCAGUGUAGAGGUGAAAUUCGUAGAUAUUGGCUGGAACACCGGUGGCGAAAGCGGCUCUCUGGCCCGGAACUGACGCUGAGACGCGAAAGCGUGGGGAGCAAACAGG
rnacentral:rRNA from 1 species